GACGAACGCUGGCGGCGUGCUUAACACAUGCAAGUCGUACGGUAAGGCCCUUUCUGGGGUUCACGAGUGGCGCACGGGUGAGUAACACGUGAGUAACCUGCCCACAACUUUGGGAUAACGCUCGGAAACUGGUGCUAAUACUGGCUAUGUUCUCCUGCUGCAUGGUGGGGGUUGGUAAGCUCCGGCGGUUGUGGAUGGACUCAGGGCCUAUCAGCUAGUUGGUGGGGUAGUGGCCUACCAAGGCGGCGACGGGUAGCCGGCCUGAGAGGGUGACCGGCCACACUGGAACGGAGCCACGGUCCAGAGUCCUGAGGGAGGCACCAGUGGGGAAUGGUGGACAAUGGGGGGAAACCUGAUCCAGCGGGGCCGCGCGUGUGAAGAAGGUCCUCGGGUCGGAAAGCCGUUUUAGGGGGGAGAAACGGCAUUAAGUUAGUACCUUGCUUUUUUGACGGUACCAGCAGAAAAAGCACCGGCUAACUUCGUG
rnacentral:rRNA from 1 species